rnacentral:rRNA from 1 species
UACAGAGGAUGCAAGCGUUAUCCGGAAUGAUUGGGCGUAAAGCGUCUGUAGGUGGCUUUUUAAGUCCGCCGUCAGAUCCCAGGGCUCAACUCUGGACAGGCGGUGGAAACUACCAAGCUGGAGUACGGUAGGGGCAGAGGGAAUUUCCGGUGGAGCGGUGAAAUGCGUAGAUAUCAUUUGGAACGCCAAUGGUGAAAACAGGUUGCUGGGAGUGUGCUGACGCUGAGACACGAAAGCCAGGGGAGCAAACGGG